AUCCAGUUGACGAGUUCAAAAUAGGACGAAAUGCGCGUUAUCCUGGAU
rnacentral:hammerhead_ribozyme from 1 species